UAGGGAAUCUUCCACAAUGGACGCAAGUCUGAUGGAGCAACGCCGCGUGAGUGAAGAAGGUUUUCGGACCGUAAAGCUCUGUUGUUGGUGAAGAAGGAUAGAGGUAGUAACUGGCCUUUAUUUGACGGUAAUCAACCAGAAAGUCACGGCUAACUACGUGCCAGCAGCCGCGGUAAUCGUAGGUGGCAAGCGUUGUCCGGAUUUAUUGGGCGUAAAGCGAGCGCAGGCGGAAGAAUAAGUCUGAUGUGAAAGCCCUCGGCUUAACCGAGGAAUUGCAUCGGAAACUGUUUUCUUGAGUGCAGAAGAGGAGAGUAGAACUCCAUGUGUAGCGGUGGAAUGCGUAGAUAUAUGGAAGAAUACCAGUGGCGAAGGCGGCUCUCUGGUCUGCAACUGACGCUGAGGCUCGAAAGCAUGGGUAGCGAACAGGAUUAGAUACCCUUGGUAGUCCAUGCCGUAAACGAUGAGUGCUAAGUGUUGGGAGGCUUCCGCCUCUCAGUGCUGCAGCUAACGCAUUAAGCACUCCGCCUGGGGGAGUACGACCGCAAGGUUGAAACUCAAAG
rnacentral:rRNA from 1 species